rnacentral:rRNA from 1 species
AGUACCCGGAGGAAGAGAAAGAAAAUUCGAUUCCCUUAGUAGCGGCGAGCGAAACGGGAAGAGCCCAAACCAACAAGCUUGCUUGUUGGGGUUGUAGGACACUCUAUACGGAGUUACAAAGGACGACAUUAGACGAAUCAUCUGGAAAGAUGAAUCAAAGAAGGUAAUAAUCCUGUAGUCGAAAAUGUUGUCUCUCUUGAGUGGAUCCUGAGUACGACGGAGCACGUGAAAUUCCGUCGGAAUCUGGGAGGACCAUCUCCUAAGGCUAAAUACUCUCUAGUGACCGAUAGUGAACCAGUACCGUGAGGGAAAGGUGAAAAGCACCCCGGAAGGGGAGUGAAAUAGAACCUGAAACCGUGUGCUUACAAGUAGUCAGAGCCCGUUAAUGGGUGAUGGCGUGCCUUUUGUAGAAUGAACCGGCGAGUUACGAUUUGAUGCAAGGUUAAGCAGUAAAUGUGGAGCCGUAGCGAAAGCGAGUCUGAAUAGGGCGUUUAGUAUUUGGUCGUAGACCCGAAACCAGGUGAUCUACCCUUGGUCAGGUUGAAGUUCAGGUAACACUGAAUGGAGGACCGAACCGACUUACGUUGAAAAGUGAGCGGAUGAACUGAGGGUAGCGGAGAAAUUCCAAUCGAACCUGGAGAUAGCUGGUUCUCUCCGAAAUAGCUUUAGGGCUAGCCUCAAGUGAUGAUUAUUGGAGGUAGAGCACUGUUUGGACGAGGGGCCCCUCUCGGGUUACCGAAUUCAGACAAACUCCGAAUGCCAAUUAAUUUAACUUGGGAGUCAGAACAUGGGUGAUAAGGUCCGUGUUCGAAAGGGAAACAGCCCAGACCACCAGCUAAGGUCCCAAAAUAUAUGUUAAGUGGAAAAGGAUGUGGCGUUGCCCAGACAACUAGGAUGUUGGCUUAGAAGCAGCCAUCAUUUAAAGAGUGCGUAAUAGCUCACUAGUCGAGUGACACUGCGCCGAAAAUGUACCGGGGCUAAACAUAUUACCGAAGCUGUGGAUUGUCCUUUGGACAAUGGUAGGAGAGCGUUCUAAGGGCGUUGAAGCAUGAUCGUAAGGACAUGUGGAGCGCUUAGAAGUGAGAAUGCCGGUGUGAGUAGCGAAAGACGGGUGAGAAUCCCGUCCACCGAUUGACUAAGGUUUCCAGAGGAAGGCUCGUCCGCUCUGGGUUAGUCGGGUCCUAAGCUGAGGCCGACAGGCGUAGGCGAUGGAUAACAGGUUGAUAUUCCUGUACCACCUAUAAUCGUUUUAAUCGAUGGGGGGACGCAGUAGGAUAGGCGAAGCGUGCGAUUGGAUUGCACGUCUAAGCAGUAAGGCUGAGUAUUAGGCAAAUCCGGUACUCGUUAAGGCUGAGCUGUGAUGGGGAGAAGACAUUGUGUCUUCGAGUCGUUGAUUUCACACUGCCGAGAAAAGCCUCUAGAUAGAAAAUAGGUGCCCGUACCGCAAACCGACACAGGUAGUCAAGAUGAGAAUUCUAAGGUGAGCGAGCGAACUCUCGUUAAGGAACUCGGCAAAAUGACCCCGUAACUUCGGGAGAAGGGGUGCUCUUUAGGGUUAACGCCCAGAAGAGCCGCAGUGAAUAGGCCCAAGCGACUGUUUAUCAAAAACACAGGUCUCUGCUAAACCGUAAGGUGAUGUAUAGGGGCUGACGCCUGCCCGGUGCUGGAAGGUUAAGAGGAGUGGUUAGCUUCUGCGAAGCUACGAAUCGAAGCCCCAGUAAACGGCGGCCGUAACUAUAACGGUCCUAAGGUAGCGAAAUUCCUUGUCGGGUAAGUUCCGACCCGCACGAAAGGCGUAACGAUUUGGGCACUGUCUCAACGAGAGACUCGGUGAAAUCAUAGUACCUGUGAAGAUGCAGGUUACCCGCGACAGGACGGAAAGACCCCGUGGAGCUUUACUGUAGCCUGAUAUUGAAAUUCGGCACAGCUUGUACAGGAUAGGUAGGAGCCUUUGAAACGUGAGCGCUAGCUUACGUGGAGGCGCUGGUGGGAUACUACCCUAGCUGUGUUGGCUUUCUAACCCGCACCACUUAUCGUGGUGGGAGACAGUGUCAGGCGGGCAGUUUGACUGGGGCGGUCGCCUCCUAAAAGGUAACGGAGGCGCUCAAAGGUUCCCUCAGAAUGGUUGGAAAUCAUUCAUAGAGUGUAAAGGCAUAAGGGAGCUUGACUGCGAGACCUACAAGUCGAGCAGGGUCGAAAGACGGACUUAGUGAUCCGGUGGUUCCGCAUGGAAGGGCCAUCGCUCAACGGAUAAAAGCUACCCCGGGGAUAACAGGCUUAUCUCCCCCAAGAGUUCACAUCGACGGGGAGGUUUGGCACCUCGAUGUCGGCUCAUCGCAUCCUGGGGCUGUAGUCGGUCCCAAGGGUUGGGCUGUUCGCCCAUUAAAGCGGUACGCGAGCUGGGUUCAGAACGUCGUGAGACAGUUCGGUCCCUAUCCGUCGUGGGCGUAGGAAAUUUGAGAGGAGCUGUCCUUAGUACGAGAGGACCGGGAUGGACAUACCUCUGGUGUACCAGUUGUCGUGCCAACGGCAUAGCUGGGUAGCUAUGUGUGGACGGGAUAAGUGCUGAAAGCAUCUAAGCAUGAAGCCCCCCUCAAGAUGAGAUUUCCCAACUUCGGUUAUAAGAUCCCUCAAAGAUGAUGAGGUUAAUAGGUUCGAGGUGGAAGCAUGGUGACAUGUGGAGCUGACGAAUACUAAUCGAUCGAAGACUUAAUCAA